rnacentral:rRNA from 1 species
GACGAACGCUGGCGGCGUGCUUAACACAUGCAAGUCGAACGGAAAGGCCCUGCUUUUGUGGUGUGCUCGAGUGGCGAACGGGUGAGUAACACGGGAGUAACCUGCCCUUGACUUUGGGAUAACUUCAGGAAACUGGGGCUAAUACCGGAUAGGAGCUCCUGCUGCAUGGUGGGGGUUGGAAAGUUUCGGCGGUUGGGGAUGGACUCGCGGCUUAUCAGCUUGUUGGUGGGGUAGUGGCUUACCAAGGCUUUGACGGGUAGCCGGCCUGAGAGGGUGACCGGCCACAUUGGGACUGAGAUACGGCCCAGACUCCUACGGGAGGCAGCAGUGGAGAAUAUUGCACUAUGGGCGGAAGCCUGAUGCAGCAACGCCGCGUGCGGGAUGACGGCCUUCGGGUUGUAAACCGCUUUCGCAUGUGACGAAGCGUGAGUGACGGUAAUGGGUAAAGAAGCACCGGCUAACUACGUG